GACCUUCACUUUGCCAAUGAUAAGUCAAAUUCUUGCAAAAGGAUUUCACACCAUCUCCAAUGAUGCCUUUUUGCCAACAUCUGUUAAUAAAAGCUCUUCACAGUUGCGGGAUGAGUUUAAAAGGUGCGUCAUGCUCAUGCUUUACAGGACAGAUGAGGUACCACAAUUGUUGUUUGUGCAGAGAGGAAGAGAUCAUCAGGUAGCGGUGUCCCAAACAACAAGGAGCGGCUCAUUCCAAGAAACAAGGAGGAGAACUAUGCGGGCAUCUCCAUGAAGUUGCCACUCUUAUAAGGAACCUUGGAAGAUCAGGGAGCAGCUAAUGCAUAGCAACCCCGGGUGCUUGUUGCGGUGCCCGCUUCCGCC